ACAUAUAUGCAUCCCUUUUUCUUCUCUUCUAAUAUAUCGUAUACAAUAGAGUUACAGAGCUUACUCACAGCUUACUCAAAUUUUUUACUGGCUUCUCAAAUCUCUCCAACUUGCAGUGAUAGCAGGUUUUGAGUCUAUGACCAAAGUAGGAACCGAAGGAAUCAAGAAUCAAAUGGAGGACAUUCAGGAGAUAAGGGAUGGGAGAGGAAGAUGACAAAUGAAGAGAGAAUGUUGUGUAUGUGGGUCCUGAAUUCAGAUCCCUUCUUCGGUUGGACAUAUAAAGAGCAACGAAUCUCCACAUUGAUGUGCCAUCAUCUGUUUAUCUAAAAGCACUACGUUGUACUUCUUCUCUUUUUUUUUUUGAAGCACCUAAUUGAGAAUACUAAAACUGACAUCUCAGAAGAUAGGUACAUUCCAAGGAAUGUAAGUGAGAAGGUUAUCAAAAAGGAAUGCGAGUGAGAAAACAUCAUUUAAUUUCUCUGAAGAUGAUGUUCAACUGAGAAGGUUAUCAAAAAGGAAUGCGAGUGAGAAAACAUCAUUUAAUUUCUCUGAAGAUGAUGUUCAACUGAGAAGGUUAUCAAAAAGGAAUGCGAGUGAGAAAACAUCAUUUAAUUUCUCUGAAGAUGAUGUUCAACUGAGAAGGUUAUCAAAAAGGAAUGCGAGAAUUGCUGCCUAGGAAGAUUACUUUGUGGAAGUUAAAGGAUAUAAAUUGCUUAAUAUAGGUGAAAAGUAUAGCUUGAGUCAAAGUCGGGGAUGCGGAUUAUUUGUAUUCUCUCUAAAGAAAUACUUCAAGCUAGAGGUGUAUUCACUUAGAGCUAAUUCGAUACUUGUAUCUUUCAGUGUUUAUUGAUUGGUUUGAAGAUGUAGUUCCUCCUGAAAUAUUGUGCCUGAGCAAAUGUGUGGCAAAUGUCAUUUUGCAUGGCUAUCCUCGGGGUGCAAUUUGAAGAAGGAAGCAACUAUCAUUGUGCUUGUGAAAUACCGAUAAACUUAUUUCACUUAUGUAUUUGUGAAAUCAUAGCUAUUGUAUUAGGUAUUUAUUGUUAUAUAUGUUGUCUAUCGCCAUU